rnacentral:lncRNA from 1 species
AUCUCUGCGUGACUUCCGCCAGCGUUUAGAGCGUUUUCGGGGUCCGAGUUGAAGAGCAAAACCAAGUGAAGGAAACUUCACUAAGUUCAGGGUGACAAGGGAGGAAGUACAGAGACUGCACUUUAAAUUCUGGAUGACAGACCUAUCAGGACUGAGUGGACCUUUGAGUGACAAGAUGGGGGUGUUCCAAAGAGACCAUGGCAGCCUGCAGCUAGGACUUUAAUUGAACUAUUGGCAUGGCUCAAUCCAUUGACCUGUUUUGGUUCCUGAUGAAGUUUUGUUAAUUUAAAUGAGAAAAAUAAGGACAGUGAAAAACAGAGCGCUUAAAAAGCACUGUCUGGAUAUCUUCAGAGGGAAAAAGGAGAAAGUUAACUGAAUUGGUGACACUUCGGGUCUCUCACAGAGGAAGAGACCACCAAACCAACAGAAGCCACCAGGACAGCACACAGCCAUUCCAAAAUUCCAGACCAGGAUCAUUCCAGAAAAGCCUUACAUCUCAGUCCAGUAUAUGGAUGGUUUUGUAAGAUGACCUAUGAUUUUUCUGUUCCUCCUUCCUGCCCCUAACUUCAGAGAAACAGACCUAGAAAGAGGGAAGGAAGGAGUGAAAAAGCGUGCCAUACUUUAUCUUCUCCCCUUCUGUUUUAAACUAGACAAAUCUAUAUUUUAAUUAUUAUAAGUAACCAGAAAGUUAUAUGGUCUGGCCAGGAUGGCAUUAAAGAAAAUGAGAGAGAAAAGUUUAAGAUAGCAUGGUUGGAGACAAUAAGUAGAAGAAACCAAGUAGUUCAAGUUUUAUAACGCUCUAUCUUAUAAACACUCUUGAACCAAUAAUAAUGCUAUUACUGAAAUGCUACACACAAUUGAAGACUACUUGUUAGACCAAGACCUUAAAAACUUCUUUACUGAUUAUUCCCAAUGUGUGGCCCUGGUAAUCAUUGAAGAAUCAUUGUAUUGACUAUUAAACAUCUAGGGAUCACCUGUUUAAAUCAAGUUAACAAAACACUUACUUAACAAAUAUAUAUUGAUUGCCUAUUAUGAAGUAGAUGCUAUAGUAGGUGCUGGCAGUAUAAACAUGAAAAGAGACAUUGUGUGUGCAUAUUAAUAUACAGCAAAUUAAACUUCAGCCAGAGAAGUACUUUACUAGAAGGUUGAUAGAAGUGUGGUGGUAGCUUGCAGGAGGAAGCAGUUAGCCUCCUUGGAAAUGAGUAAUCUUCACAGAAAGUAUGACAUUUGACCUGCUUCUUGGAGAAGAUGCAUAUUAAACCUAUUAAAUCCAUGUCAGCCUUUAACACCUUUGCUCAGAUUAGUUUCUCGAGCUGUUUUCCCACCUGGUGAGCAGAUAAGAGCAGGACAGGAAAGUUCUGAUGAAAGGAAGAAGUGCCAGAGAGAGAAGGCCUUGCAAGCAAAGAAGCCUGACAGGCAGGAGCCCCUGAGUAUCCUAAGGAGAAGUACCAGCGAUUUAGGGAAGAAAAUUGCUGCCAGAAGUGCAGGAAAUAAAAAUUCUGACCUAGAUCAUUUUA